CUCUCUCUCUCUCUCUCUCUCUCUCUCUCUCUCGUAGGGAUUGCAAUUUAAACCCUGGCGAAACCAACCAACCAUGUACCAACCGUACCAAGCAAAUUAGUAUGCCAAGUAGUUGGUAACAGAGUUUUCGGUACAGUAGUACCGUACCAAGUUUGAGGAGUCGGUUGGUACAUGAUACAAGUUUUCCUAAAAUACAGUAUACCGAGUACUAACCGAGUUAUAUUAAAAAUAAAAAAAUAAUUAAAACUAUUAAUCCAAGCCGUUGAUAUAUGGAGAUGAAUCUCCAUCGUUGAUCUAACCUUAAGUUCCUAAUCCUUCUCUCGCCUCUCUCAGUCUCUGCUCUUUAUUCUCUCAGUCUCUCGAUUCGGCACCUCGACUCGGCACACGGCAGCACCUCGCACCUCCGCCACCUCGACUGGGCAGCACCUCAUGCCUCUGCCACCUCACCUCACACCUCCACCACCUCGACUUCACAGCACCUCCGCCACCUCGCUUCGAGAACUGGGCAGCACCUCGCCUCUCUCAGUCUCUCGAUUCGGCACCUCGACUCGGCACUCAGCAGCACCUCGCACCUCCGCCACCUCACCUCGCACCUCCGCCACCUCGACUUCACAACACCUUCGCCACCUCGCUUCGAGAACUAGGCAGCACCUUGCCUUUCUCGCAGUCGACUCGGCAGCACCAAGGGCAGCGCCUCGACUCGGCAGCACCAAGGGCAGCUCCUCGACUCUCCGACGAAGAAGCCAUCAGCUCCGUUCGAGAAGCCUUUCGCCAAG
rnacentral:lncRNA from 1 species